UCUACCAUAGUACAUGUAUUAUAUAUAUGGACCUUUUGAAUUUCUCAAUAGAAUAUGUUCAUUAAUAAUUUGUACACACAGUGCUUAGAAUUAAAUUCAAUGAUAAAUACAUCGGGAUCGGCAUACUUAUUCUUAAAAAACUUGAGCUUUGUAAAUAAUUGAUGAUGCAUUAAGUAUGGUAUGCAGGUCCUGUUGUAUUAUGAGGUCUGUACAGCAGACUGAGCCUUCAUGUGCACUCGCCAAAUUUUGCAUUGCACUUUUGCAGGUAUGAGAAUUUAGACGAGUGCUUGCGAGCACUUGACUUGUUCUGCUGAUCAUGCCACACGUUGCAAUUUGUACAUGUAUUAAAAUUUUUUUUUGAAUGAAAUUUAAUAACUGAUUAAAAUUUUCAGGUAUAUGCAGAAGAUGUUCAGAAAGACACAAGACAACCUAUACCACAAAAGUAAACAUUGAAAGUGAUGUGGGAGAUUUUUUGAAGCUUGCUGCACAUUUACAAGCUAGUGAUGAUGAAAUUUUAAACAGUUUGCCAGAUACAUGUAUAUCAGAAGCAGAUGAAGUUACUGUUGGAGGUACAGGUAAUGAAAUACUGGAUCAAGCACAACAUGCUCAAGAAGACAAUAGUUCUUUGCAUGAUAUAUCAGAACAAUCUAGUCAGCUCUCAGAAUUUUCGUCCACUCAGUCCUCUCAUGGAACUGAUAACUGGCUACCACCAACAUACGAUCGGGAUAAGUUGAACAGAAGCAUGGAAAUUCUCUCUGAAGGCAAAUUUACUCCAAUGCGAUUUACCUUAAACACACCAUUGGAAGAUGUUCAACAGUCUACAAAGGAUUAUGUGACUCGAAAAGCCAAAGAAGUAAUUCACUAUGCUUUAGAAUGCAUUGCACCACAGCAGGAGGAAGAAUUAAUGCAACUGGUGUGUAGAAAAUACUUCAAGGCGGAGUCGGAUGGUAUUGAUAUUAUACCUGAUGCUUUAACAGAAGCUCUUAUCAAAGCCUACAAUGAUGCUAAUGGACAUCAAUGCCAAAUCCAAAUACUCUCCCUGUUUGUAAACAAUUUUUCAAAGACUGAACUUUGUAAAAUGGUGCAUGGCCUAACAAAGUAUAAAAUUGACUGUGCAAGAAAAUACGCUUCCUUGAAUGGACCAGGUCAGAUUAUUGAUCCUCCAAAGGUUACCCGUGUUAGACUUUCGAGAUGUCAAAUACAGCAUUUUAUUGAAUUUUUGUACAGUCCA